GAACAAAGCGCUCUGAGUGGCACUGUUUCCCUCUUGGCUGCGGGCAACACUCAGCAGUUCCCUGAGAAGAUCACUGACCUGGUGGACAUCCUGCUCUCACCCCCUCCCUAGCCUUGACCUGACACCCCAAACCCCCAAUCUGGGAGGGGUGGACAUCGUUUCCUCAGAAGACUGUCUCCAGUUCAGGAGUAAAAUCUUUCUUGUAAUCUGUGAAGGAGUGUGUGAAAAACCAAACCCAAACCGACCUGCCCUCCAGCUUUGAACUAUUGAAACUCUGUAGCAGAAAGGAGGCAUUCAGAGAAGGGGAGAGGAAGCAGGCCAUGAAACAGAAUUGCAGCUGUGUGCAGUGGUGGUGUGUGAUUCCCCUCUACCCAGCUGUGUGAGCUUGGUUGGGAACACCUUGGGCACUUAUGUCAGAGAAUUGUUAAAAGAAUUAAAUGAAAUGUUCUACCUGAAGCAUGAAGCUUAGUGCCUGUAGUUGGUCAAUCAACAGCAGUUGCUAACGUUGUUGCCCCCAUAACACUGGACGUUCACUCCUGCUAUGGAGAGUCUGGUCCCCAGCUCUGGUGGCCAGGACCACUAAGAACUGAUGAGCAGGGAAGGUCAAGUGUUGGGAAUACGGAUGGCAUGGUUCCUCAAACCUCAGGUCAUUUCCUCACCUAAAGUCAUCCCCCCUCCAUCUGCUCCUGUUUUGGGAACAGGGUGACAGAGCCUUCUCCCUUGCCGCCCAUACCCGCCAUUGCUGAACGGAUCAGAAAAGACUCAAAGAUGUCCUUAAGGAACUAAAGUUCUUUUGAUACUGGGAAAUCCCCCAGGCAACCUAGAACUCCAUGAGUUCAACACAGAAGGUGUUAAAGUGGUCUACUUGUCCCCAAACACAAUAUCUCCAACUCAGCCUCUAGAUCAGUGGGUCAUAAGGACCUUUCGGGUUUAUUACACAUGGGGCUCUAUGGAAAAGAUU